rnacentral:tRNA from 1 species
GCAUUGGUGGUUCAGGGGUAGAAUUCUCACCUUCCGUGUGGUAGACCUAGGUUCAAUUCCUGGCCAGUACA